rnacentral:rRNA from 1 species
AGUGAACGCUGGCGGUAGGCCUAACACAUGCAAGUCGAACGGCAGCACAGUAGGAGCUUGCUCUUACGGGUGGCGAGUGGCGGACGGGUGAGGAAUACAUCGGAAUCUACUUUUUCGUGGGGGAUAACGUAGGGAAACUUACGCUAAUACCGCAUACGACCUACGGGUGAAAGCAGGGGAUCUUCGGACCUUGCGCGAUUGAAUGAGCCGAUGUCGGAUUAGCUAGUUGGCGGGGUAAAGGCCCACCAAGGCGACGAUCCGUAGCUGGUCUGAGAGGAUGAUCAGCCACACUGGAACUGAGACACGGUCCAGACUCCUACGGGGGGCAGCAGUGGGGAAUAUUGGACAAUGGGCGCAAGCCUGAUCCAGCCAUACCGCGUGGGUGAAGAAGGCCUUCGGGUUGUAAAGCCCUUUUGUUGGGAAAGAAAAGCAGCAGGUUAAUACCCCGCUGUUCUGACGGUACCCAAAGAAUAAGCACCGGCUAACUUCGUG